rnacentral:rRNA from 1 species
UACGAAGGGGGCUAGCGUUGCUCGGAAUUACUGGGCGUAAAGGGCGCGUAGGCGGCGCUGUUAGUCAGGAUGUGAAAUUCCUGGGCUCAACCUGGGGGACUGCAUUUGAUACGUGUGGACUAGAGUGGGGAAGAGGGUCGUGGAAUUCCCAGUGGUAGAGGUGAAAUUCGUAGAUAUUGGGAAGAACACCGGUGGCGAAGGCGGCGACCUGGUCCUUGACUGACGCUGAGGCGCGAAAGCGUGGGGAGCAAACAGG